AAAACAAUCCUACGGGAGGCAGCAGUGGGGAAUAUUGCGCAAUGGGCGAAAGCCUGACGCAGCGACGCCGCGUGAGGGAUGACGGCCUUCGGGUUGUAAACCUCUUUCAGCAGGGACGAAGAGUGAUUGACGGUACCUGCAGAAGAAGCACCGGCCAACUACGUGCCAGCAGCCGCGGUAAUACGUAGGGUGCAAGCGUUGUCCGGAAUUAUUGGGCGUAAAGAGCUCGUAGGCGGUCUGUCACGUCGAAUGUGAAAAUCCGGGGCUCAACUCCGGACCUGCAUUCGAUACGGGCAGACUAGAGUUCGGUAGGGGAGACUGGAAUUCCUGGUGUAGCGGU
rnacentral:rRNA from 1 species